CCUUCCAGGACAUGGAAGAGCAGCACCUUGCUAAUUGGCAAGGCUUUUACCAUCUCGUUGGUAUUAGUAGUUGACUGUAGCAAGUAACACGCCGAGCAGGCAGGUGUGCGGCACGGUGGGAUUGACUGUCCGUCUUCUGUGUUUGCUCUCAAAAAGGGAUUGUGGCCCUGUCCUUAAAUGCCUUUUCUUUUUUUCCUUUCCUUUCUUCCUCCAAAGAGCACAGAGGCUGGAAGUAGAGACCGGGAUCUGAGCUGAUGAAGUUCUUCAUGAAGAACAACAUGUGCAAGGCAGAAGUUCUUCAGUUAUGAUGACAGAAGACAAUGGGGUCACCUGUUCAAGUCCAUCUACUUCAGCUACGGCAAGUGCUGCACCAUCUGUCAGCUUCCCAGCUGCAACAUCAUCAUCAUUAAAUACUGAAAUUUCCACUAAGUAAUGAGAGCAUGAAGAGGAAAAGAAUAUCAGAAAAGACAGAAUCAUGAAUCCUGGUUCUCGAGACAUCCUACAUUCACCCCCUCGAAGUUUCUAGAGCUGAGCUAAAACCAGAGGGCCUAAUAUCUUAAAAGUCUCUGUAUUUUUAAUGGCUAUUCCACAAGCAAAGAAUUUGAAGAAUCAAACUUCUAAAGUGACUUUCAUCGGUUGAUGAAGAGCAUUAAUCAAAUCUCAGAUACUCAGAUGAGGCAGAUGAAGAUGACUCCUUCAAGUAGUGGAGCACAUGGAAAAUAUCAAAAGCAGAGCUUUACUUACUCAGUGGGGAGACCAGUUAUUAUUUGCAGUUGCUUCAGAGAAGCAGGUGAGCAAAACAAAAAUAUUUCAGAGCACUGAGCAAACAACA